AGAGAUAUGGUUUAAGUAAAGUAUAAUCCAGCGAAGGAUGAGUAGAUAAAGACGGGAGCGGCGCCAUUACUCGAAGCGAAAAGAAACUAUGGAAUGAGCAGAAACUGUGAAUGAGAAAUGAAGAAUAGAGAUGGUGAAGAAGAAGAAAGGGACAAGGAAGACAAAUUCUUAGUAUAAGAAGGAAUGAGAAGCUUAACAAGGAAGGGAAGAAGAGCCGUCGCGUCGAAUUCGAUUUCUGAGGUCGGCUAUAAUGAUGAAAAGACGGUGGCAAUUAAGAUG
rnacentral:lncRNA from 1 species